UUUUUGACUACUUUGGCAGCAGUAAUGUGUCUGCCAGCCCAUGUGAAUGCAUGGGAUUGGGUUGUAUAACGUUAUACAAGAAACAGCAAUGUUGAACUUGCAAACCCAUUAGUUAUAAACUUCAGAGAGACAUUUCUGUAUUCUAUUGUUGAUUCUGCAGACCUUUCCAGCGAGGCCAAGCCUGCAGUGGUUAUGUCCUUUCCUGUAGUGUCUGCUAGAGAGAGAUGAGGUCUGUUUGAGGCCCUGCUGUGUGACUCUUCAUGGCAGGGUUAUAGACUGAAGACUUGUGUGCAACGUCCAGCAUCAAGAUGUCAAGACCUGCAGAGAUGAAGCCAAGCCUUGCCCUGCUCAGACCUCCUGACUGACAUCUGGUGCUCCAGUAUGACUUUGAGCUAAAAAAAAAAAAAAAAGUAAGGAGUGGAAGACUCAGCGCUACGUUCAGAGGCGUUCGGCUGCUGAGUGCAGAAGUUGGUCAAGUGAUUUCAAAGCUUCCAGUUGGCCUCAAAGAAGAGUUUACCAGUAACCAUGUGGAUCGAUGAUGUGGCUCCUCAUAGAAUUCACCAACAUGACAAGACUUUGACACAGAUUUCGUCUGAGAUGAACCAGUUCAUCUGCUGAAGGCAACAAAGGUCACAUUUGUACAUCUGCAGUAAAGUUGAUUUCUUUAAUAGGCAAGAGGAAAGAAUAUUUUGUGUCAAGAGUUUUAAGAUUUAUGUUGGUGGUAAAAUCAUAAUGUUGUACAAGGUAUUGAAGAGAAACGCUGUUCAAAUAAAGAUUCUAAACACA